CUUUUUGGAAGUCGUUUUUUUUAAUAUUUUUUUUUUUUUCAAGCUUUUUAGUGUAAAUAGUCAUUGCUUGGUACCUAAAAUAUCAAUUCACAGCAAAACUUUCU